rnacentral:rRNA from 1 species
UUUGGAAGUAAAAGUCGUAACAAGGUUUCUGUAGGUGAACCUGCAAAAGGAUCUUUAGUGAAAGAUUUGGGCAGGCCCAUACGGACGCCAAAAAACUUCCGUGUCCGCCUACACGCGCUAUACUUCCCCCAAACCGUGUGCACUGUCUGGAGAAAGGCUUCAGAGAAGUUUUUGUGACUCUCUCGGUUUGGAAGGAAAAAGCGUAACAAGGUUUCCGUAGGUGAACCUGCGGAAGGAUCAUUACCUAGAGUUUGUGGGCUUUGCCUGCUAUCUCUUACCCAUGUCUUUUGAGUACUUACGUUUCCUCGGCGGGUCCGCCCGCCGAUUGGACAAAAUUAAACCCUUUGCAGUUGCAAUCAGCGUCUGAAAAACAUAAUAGUUACAACUUUCAACAACGGAUCUCUUGGUUCUGGCAUCGAUGAAGAACGCAGCGAAAUGCGAUAAGUAGUGUGAAUUGCAGAAUUCAGUGAAUCAUCGAAUCUUUGAACGCACAUUGCGCCCCUUGGUAUUCCAUGGGGCAUGCCUGUUCGAGCGUCAUUUGUACCUUCAAGCUCUGCUUGGUGUUGGGUGUUUGUCUCGCCUUUGCGUGUAGACUCGCCUCAAAACAAUUGGCAGCCGGCGUAUUGAUUUCGGAGCGCAGUACAUCUCGCGCUUUGCACUCAUAACGACGACGUCCAAAAAGUACAUGUGUGGGCGAAAAAGACCUCGGCGACAGCUGAGAUGGACGAAC